rnacentral:tRNA from 1 species
GAGGGUAUAGGUCAGUGGUAGAGCACAUGCUUAGCAUGCAUGAUGUCCUGGGUUCAAUCCCCAGUACUUCCA